AGUGAACGCUGGCGGUAGGCCUAACACAUGCAAGUCGAACGGCAGCACAGGAGAGCAUGCUCUCUGGGUGGCGAGUGGCGGACGGGUGAGGAAUACAUCGGAAUCUACUUUUUCGUGGGGGAUAACGUAGGGAAACUUACGCUAAUACCGCAUACGACCUACGGGUGAAAGCAGGGGAUCUUCAGACCUUGCGCGAUUGAAUGAGCCUGUGUCGGAUUAGCUAGUGGGCGGGGUAAAGGCCCACCAAGGCGACGAUCCGUAGCUGGUCUGAGAGGAUGAUCAGCCACACUGGAACUGAGACACGUUCCAGACUCCUAAGGGAGGCAGCAGUGGGGAAUAUUGGACAAUGGGCGCAAGCCUGAUCCAGCCAUGCCGCGUGUGUGAAGAAGGCCUUCGGGUUGUAAAGCACUUUUGUUCGGGAAGAAAUCUUCCGUCCUAAUACGGCGGGAGGAUGACGGUACCGAAAGAAUAAGCACCGGCUAACUUCGUGCCAGCCGCCGCAGUAA
rnacentral:rRNA from 1 species